UGACCUGCCUCGGCCUCCCAAACUGCUGGGAUUACAGGUGUGACCACCAUGCCUGACCCUGAUGCACUUUCAAAGUUUUCCGUAACCGUGAGUUUUAAGUAGCUGAGCUCUAAACCUAAAUAAUUGCCCAAGGGUGAUGGUUAAGGAGACCGCAGAGUGGGAAGAACAGAGAGGAGAGAGGCUUGGGAAGACCAGGUGAGGAGGAGCAGUCAGAGUCAGGGAAGAGCCCUGGCAGGAACUGAGGAGGAAGAGUGGACAGCAGCAUCCGAGGGAAGGAGGACUCCAGAGGCUCCUGACUUGGGCGAGGGAGCCAGCCACCAUGGGCCCAGGGCUUCCAGCCAGAUGGGACCGCUGUCACAGGAUCCUUGGGGUGUCACAUUUCUAGCUGGAAACCUCUGUGGCUGGUAGCACCCUUGCCCAAGUUUUGCUUGGGCCCACUGGACUUGUUCUGCCCACUCACUCAGCCUGGCAUGCUGCACUCAACUGACGCUACUGGCCUGGAUCCCACGCCUGGCCAGAGCGAGUCAGGCACAGGGCAGUGAGGGGCGUGUGAGUGAGCAUAGGGUCCAGCCACUGUGCAAUCAGGCACGCCAGCAGCUGCAGCAGGGUGGGCAGCUCCAGGUGCUGGUGUGGGCACUGGCUCUCUGCAAGGCUGCAGCUGGACCAGGCACACUGCAAGCAGCUUCCACAGCUGGCACUGGAGAAUGCAGUAUGCCAGGAACCACAGGGCCCCAAAGAGGGAGUUCAACUCAGAAGGGGUGGGGCUCCUGCUUGUCCCUGGCCUGGGGGCUGCAGCUCUUCUCUCCUUCUCUUCCCCCACAGCAUGGCAAGCAAGGGGCAUGUUUCAGCCCUGUUUGUGUUACACCAGCUCUUUUAGCCUUGCCAGAUUCAACGGGUCCCAAGUUCUUGUCCUGUGACCAGGAAGAAUGAGCUAUACAGGCCAUACCUUGGAGACACUGCGGGUUCAGAUCCAGACCACCAAUAAAGCAAACAUUGCAGUAAAUCAAGUCACACAAAUGUUUUUGUUUCCCAGUGCAUAUAAAAGUUGUAUUUACACUACACUGUAGUCUAUUAAGUGUGUAAUAAGCACCGUGUCUACAAAAACAGUGUAUGUACUUUAAUUAACAUACUUCAUUGCUAAAAAAUGCUAAUGAUCAUCUGA